ensembl:miRNA Mir628 microRNA mir-628
UCGCUUCCUCAUGCUGACAUAUUUACUAGAGGGUAAAAUCAACAGACUUCUGGUAAGAGUGGCAGUCGAAGGGAAGGGCUCACCUGACUUCAGGAACCCG